rnacentral:rRNA from 1 species
CCUACGGGGGGCAGCAGUGGGGGAUAUUGCACAAUGGGGGAAACCCUGAUGCAGCGACGCCGCGUGUGGGAAGACGGUCCUCUGGAUUGUAAACCACUGUCCCCAGGGACGAAGAUGACGGUACCUGGGGAGGAAGCUCCGGCUAACUACGUGCCAGCAGCCGCGGUAAUACGUAGGGAGCAAGCGUUGUCCGGAAUUACUGGGUGUAAAGGGAGCGUAGGCGGGAUGGCAAGUUGGGUGUUAAAUCUACCGGCUCAACUGGUAGUCGCACUCAAAACUGCUAUUCUUGAGUGAAGUAGAGGCAGGCAGAAUGCGUAGUGUAGCGGUGAAAUGCGUAGAUAUUAGGAGGAACACCAGUGGCGAAGGCGGCCUGCUGGGCUGUUACUGACGCUGAGGCUCGAAAGUGUGGGGAGCGAACAGGAUUAGAUACCCGUGUAGUC